CAGGCCUAACACAUGCAAGUCGAGCGGACAGAAGGGAGCUUGCUCCCGGAUGUUAGCGGCGGACGGGUGAGUAACACGUGGGUAACCUGCCUGUAAGACUGGGAUAACUCCGGGAAACCGGAGCUAAUACCGGAUAGUUCCUUGAACCGCAUGGUUCAAGGAUGAAAGACGGUUUCGGCUGUCACUUACAGAUGGACCCGCGGCGCAUUAGCUAGUUGGUGAGGUAACGGCUCACCAAGGCGACGAUGCGUAGCCGACCUGAGAGGGUGAUCGGCCACACUGGGGCUGAGACACGGCCCAGACUCCUACGGGAGGCAGCAGUAGGGAAUCUUCCGCAAUGGACGAAAGUCUGACGGAGCAACGCCGCGUGAGUGAUGAAGGUUUUCGGAUCGUAAAGCUCUGUUGUUAGGGAAGAACA
rnacentral:rRNA from 1 species